UACGGAGGGUGCAAGCGUUAUCCGGAUUCACUGGGUUUAAAGGGUGCGUAGGUGGGCAGGUAAGUCAGUGGUGAAAUCUCCGGGCUUAACUCGGAAACUGCCAUUGAUACUAUCUGUCUUGAAUACCGUGGAGGUCAGCGGAAUAUGUCAUGUAGCGGUGAGAUGCUUAGAUAUGACAUAGAACACCAAUUGCGAAGGCAGCUGGCUACACGAAUAUUGACACUGAUGCACGAAAGCGUGGGGAUCAAACAGG
rnacentral:rRNA from 1 species